rnacentral:misc_RNA from 1 species
UGGUUCUGGCAUNGAUGAAGAACGCAGCGAAAUGCGAUAAGUAAUGUGAAUUGCAGAAUUCAGUGAAUCAUCGAAUCUUUGAACGCACAUUGCGCCCUCUGGUAUUCCAGGGGGCAUGCCUGUCCGAGCGUCAUUAUCACCUCAAGCGUAGCUUGGUAUUGGGCGUCGCUCCUCUCGGAGCGUGCCUGAAAAAUAGUGGGUGUCCGGUGGGACUUUAAGCGUAGUAAAUUUUCCCGCUUCAGAAGUUCCCUCCGCGGUGCCUAGAACUCUUCUUUUAUAGAAUUGACCUCGGAUCAGGUAGGGAUACCCGCUGA